GGACGAACGCUGGCGGCGUGCCUAAUACAUGCAAGUCGAACGGUCUUUCUAUGGAAGCUUGCUUCCGCUGAGAAGAUAGUGGCGAACGGGUGAGUAACACGUGGGUAACCUGCCCAUAAGAGGGGGAUAACAUCCGGAAACGGGUGCUAAUACCGCAUAGUUUUCUUGAUCGCAUGAUCGGGAAAGAAAAGACGGCCUUUGUGCUGUCGCUUAUGGAUGGACCCGCGGCGUAUUAGUUAGUUGGUGAGGUAACGGCUCACCAAGACGAUGAUACGUAGCCGACCUGAGAGGGUGAUCGGCCACAUUGGGACUGAGACACGGCCCAAACUCCUACGGGAGGCAGCAGUAGGGAAUCUUCCGCAAUGGACGAAAGUCUGACGGAGCAACGCCGCGUGAGUGAAAGAAGGUUUUCGGAUCGUAAAACUCUGUUGUCAGAGAAGAACAAGUUGGAGAGUAACUGCUCCAGCCUUGACGGUAUCUGACCAGAAAGCCACGGCUAACUACGUGCCAGCCGCCGC
rnacentral:rRNA from 1 species